UCUUUCCUCAUGUGCAUAUAUAAUAGCAAGGAAGAACUGACAUUGACCUCUAGGGACGGAAGGGGUAAAGCAUGGAAGGCUUCCUGGAGGAGGAUGCAACUGAGCUGGACAGGGAUGAACUCUGUUAGCAAGAUUUCCAAAGUCUGAGAUGACUAGAACCGAAGGAAAAGGCAUGUGCAAAGGACUAACUGGGGGAGUUGGGCACUGAGGGAUGGACAUAGGUGUAGAAGACAAUAUGAGCAAAGAUUUGAGUAAUUUAGCAGGACCUGGAAAUAUGGCAGUUUCUCCCCAUAGACCUGAAGAGAGUGGACAGUCUGCCUGUCAAUCAUUGUAGCCCCUCCAAUGAUGACGUUUGAGGGUGGGACCAUACAUAGAAAGGAGGUUAAAGAAGCCCUACCACGUGACCGGGCAAGUUUCCUUUAAAAUUUGGAUUGUACCUUGCGGCUUCCGUGGACCGUUCCACUAAGGGAUUAUGUAAAAUGGCGGUUACCUUUUCGGCGAUCUCAAAAAAUGCUGCAUGAUUGGGUACUCUGGCCCCACCAACCACUUUCAGAAAUUCCCCUGGAUAAGGGAAAGAGGAAGUUUGUCCCAUCCACUCAUCUUAUGAGUUUCCAAGUUACCUAAUUUUCCUGCAGUGGUGCUAAGCUGACCUGCCACAGGUACAAGUGUAAUUUUUUAUCAUGGAUCUGAAUGCAGUUAAAUCCACCUCCAUUUAGGAAAGGGGAAAAGAUGAGAUCUGUACCCCAGGGCCAGCAGAUAUCCUCAGAGAGUAUUGGGCAUCUCUUUGGAAAUCAACCUCUUUAAUUCUGCUACGAUGCCAGGAGGUUGCCCAGCAAUGCACACUUUACCUUGCUCUGAGCUGCGGUCUUUUGUGGCUCACUUGGACAGCUUACACUGAAGCUGACGUGGGUCAGCAUCAAGUUGGGGCCACAGGGGGUUUGUUAACUGGCAGUGCCAAAAAGUUCUCCUCUCUUUGCUUCCCUGUGUAAAGUUACUUCUUUUCUGGGCACUGGUUAAUUUGUUGAAAAUCAGGUGAAAGCUUUUGACAGUGGGUCAGGAGAGCGUUGAGCGUAAAUAUGAAUUACUCGAGGGUGCAUCCAAAGGCACUUCUGACCUUUAGUUUUAUAGAUCACUCCGCCCUCUGUUGCUUUAUUAGCACUGGUUUAAUCCAGAAGGUGGCAUCACAGAACCUGAUGGGAACUCAUCAAAGAUUAAAAAAAAAAAAAAAAAAAAAAACCAUUUCUUUGUGAUCAGACACUAAAGUAUGUAGCCUUUUUACAACAUAGUGACAUUUUAAAGACUUCUCUAUCCCUACAAUUGGUUAAAUUAUUUUAAAGCUGUGGGAGGUAAAAACCUGAGGUUUGAGGUACUUCGCAAAACCUGUACCCAAACCCAUGUUCCUUUCCCAGGUGGUGUGACAGUGACCAAUACUGGCUUAUCUGCUUGUCAAAAGCAGCUGUUCGAUUGAACAACUGUGAUGCCUCCUUCCCCUUCCACACAUGCUUGUGCCCACUGCCCGUCAAAAUCAUCUUGGGUCAUUUCAUUGAAGGGAAGGGCUGGGGAAGGUCUAAAUGAAUGGUUUAUGGGUAAAUCUGCUGAGUACUGGUACUUAAAAAUACGUCACUUAAAAAUAAUUCCAAAAGGGUGACUCUAACUGGUGGCAUUUUCAAAGUCAGGACUCUCAGGGGGAAGAGAAGGUGACCCUCCUCAGAAUUUAAGGUGGGACUGGCUUGGUGGUUCUUCCCCAGGAGGCUGUUCCUGGGCCAGCCAUAUUGCCCACCUCGUGAGGCCUGUACUCAGCCAAUGUCUCCCCUGCAGCGGGAAUGUCCGUGUGCUUUCAGUUCAUGGUGUGAAGUAUUCCAUGUCAAACCUGUGUUUGCCUUAAGUGCUUCUUCAUUCCUCUGAUUGAUGUGGGUGAUGGAAAGAGGAUGGAUAUUGAAUGCUUUAAGGCAAGGCCUUUGAAAUAGAGUGUAUUCCUUGUUACAUGUAAACUCUUGGAUGGCCAAUAAUAUUUCAUUGUAGAUAUAUACCACAUUUUUUUUAUCCAUCGAUCUUGUUGAUGAAUGCUUGGGUUGCUUCCAUGUCUUAGCUGGUGUGGAUGCUGCCGCAGUGAACACUGGGGUUUGGAUAAGCCUUUGGGAUAGCGGCUUCUUUUCCUUUAUAUAAAUAUGCAGACAUGGGAUGGCUGGAUUAUAUGGUAGUUCUAUUUCUAAUUGUUGAGCAGCUGCAAUGCUGUUUUCCAUAGUGGCCCUUCCAGUUGAUGUGGGUGAACACAUCUUGAACUAAAUGGAUUUCAGGGUUGGUUCUCCAGCCCCUUCUGAUUGUCUGUUCUUUUAAGGAGAGGAACUAGAGAGGUUCGGGGCUUCACGGGGGCUCAAGGGGCAUCUAUGAUCAGGAAAGAUGGAAUCACUGAUUAAUAGGGUCCUUCCUUCAGGAGAUGGGGAGAGGGCUGGGCAGAGUGGCCCUCCCUUUGUAGAGCUGCCCUCAGAGCAUGGGGAGAAAGCAGGCAGGAGGAACUCUGGGUCCCUGUAUUGGACUUUUGUGUGUCCAAGGAUGUCUUCUGCCUACUUCCCUGUCAUUGGCUCUACUUAGGAUCAGCAUAGCUGGAGGACAAAAGGCCGAUGAUGCACAUUAUUAAAUGUGACAUGAGCACAUAGGACCCUCUGACAAAGGUGAAAUCCUUAUGAUGGGGUCUGUUCUUUAUUUUCCCAGCUUCCCUGAGAAUUUGGGACUUUGCUCCUGGGGAAGGCUUUGUUGUUUCUGCUUCUCUGUGCGCUGCCUUAGCCUAUGAAAAGUGGCCCAAAGAAUGGCGGCCCUUCACCCUCCUGUACUGUUUUCUAGUCCAGGGGAGCCUUCCUAGAGGUGAUUUCUGUGGUUUCUGGCAACUAAUCGGACGUGGCUGGGUUGACCGCUCAGUCUUUCAUGUUGAUAGUGACCUGUGUUCUCCCGGAGAGCUUAAUGAAGGUGAACUGCUGCUGUUGGCAUGUUCUUUAAUUCACCGGCCAGACAAUUCUUCCCUUGACAUUCCCAUGGCUCAAGUGACUUGUCAAAUUCCUACAGAAAAUGCGUACUGGCUGGCAAUGGCAGCGUAUGGGGCAUGGGACAGAUUGGGUCCCAGGGAAGAAAUUGGCCAUGGCUGAUUGUCAGACUUCUGUGCUCUGACACAAAGAUAUUGAACAGAGUAAUGUCCACCGUGCAGAGCAGUGGCAUAUGUGGGAUCUUUGGAAUCCCGAUUUUGUGUUUGGGACUGGGGUUGGAAUUCCAAGCAUUUCUCUAUUAACUUCCUUCACUCUUCUGCUGAGUAUACUCUGCACGUUGGUGGGAGGAGAAGCAGCGCGUGGGCGCUGUCAAUGAACUGUACGUGAGUCAGGGGACAUUUUGAUCCUCAUGGGCUUGUGCACGUGAACCUGGAUGUCUGGGAACCUCCUGGGUCAGGUCUCCAGUUAGAGGAUUAAGCCCUCCUGUUUCUUUUGCCGAGAAGGGCGUAUACCCACAGGCUGCGGUGUCCCUUCCCUUAUUUAUCUGCUACAAGUAGCCGCUUGGUCAUCCGACCCCUCUGCCAUUUUGGAGUUCUCUUGGGAGGCGAUGACUUUGCCUCCAGGGGAUCUUGCCUGUUGUAGACACCACAGUGUUGUACUGAAGCUACCAGAGGAGUGAGAGGAUAGGGGGGAGUUGCAGUUUGAGGAGGAGAGGGGUGUUACAGUUUCCCCAUUUCAAGUUCUUGCUUUCUCUUGAUAGGGAAAGCUUGGGCUCAGCAGGGAUAUGAGUACACUCUGAGAGUGUGAGGAAACUUGACAGCGGCGAGGACAAGGGACUCGGGGUGAAAGUGGUGGGCCUUGUGGGCUCAGGGGUGGGUUUCCUGCCUUUUCUCAUUCUCCUACACUACCUCUGGGGUGGCAUAACUGGGGGACAGAAGACAUUGGACAUUGCCGGAGAUGGUCUGAGAAACUACGACUGUCUCGUUGAAUGGAGACAUUUGUUAGGAUGAGAGGGGGGCCAUUUUCCAAUUUACCAAUGAGGGAUUUAUAGGUGCAUGGCCAUUAUGCUGUCUCAUUUUAAUUCUGUUACCGUAGGCCUAUGAACAAAGGCCUCGAGGGGAGUUAGCCCUUCACUCAGCUGUCUCUUUGCAGGUCUCAAUGACCUGAGGCCCUUCGGAGGAGGAACUACUGUUGCUCAUGCUGGUUUUGUUACCAGGAGAGUCUUUGUAGGCCCUCGGACACGGUCUUUGGUGGUCAGUCCCCUCUGCGCUUCUUGGGAGGGUGUAGCUGAGCCUUCUGUUUCGGCAGCUUAAGUCGUUCCCCUUCCCCUCGUUCUCAGGCCCUGCAGGGUCCCCGGGGACGCAUUCCUGGCCUGCACAAUUACCCAGAGGCUUGUCUAGCUUUUGAAAAAGAUUUGCCUCCUGUGCAGGGAGACCGGGAACCCACAUUCAGAAGUUUUCUGAAGUCAGUGUUCUCAGAAAAGGGAAGGGGAGGUCCUUUGCCUCCUUUGAACAGGGGUCACUUAACUUAUAGUUCUUAUUUUAUUUGCCCUUAUGACACGCUAGCAGGAGAUACCAGGUCCCCUUGGGAUUUGCGCCCUCCCCUGACUGGUGAGUCCCCAGCGCUGGCCACAGUUAGCGAGGCCUACGCUGAGAACUCCCUCGAGAGCUCUUGGUGCCAACAGCACCCAAGGGACAGUUCCUCAGUCCGAGCAGGGCUUCUCCUCCAGUCUGCUGCGGCUUUUACCCCUGCCUGUGUUCUCAGGGGGAGCUCUAGCUGGGCCACAGAGACCACUGCAGUGAGGUUUGAAACUACAAACCUUGUUUAGGGACGGUUCAGGUUGAUAUGCUGAUGUCAGCCGUCCACUGACAAGUUGAACUGUGCUAUUCCUCUCACACCCUCCCUUUCCUGAGUGCCCUGGAGCGGCAGAGGGGUGAUCUGUCUCCUUUGUGAGAAGCAGGACCGGACAGAAUACUUGGAGGGGAGGCUUCGGCUGCUGCGUUAUGGAGCCUUAGUGUGGAGGCCUCUCAGAAUGGGUGGGAAGGGGGCGCCUGGCUGGCUCAGUGGGUUAAAGCCUCUGCCUUCGGCUCUAGUCCUGGUCCCAGGGUCCUGGGAUCGAGCCCCGAAUCGGGCUCUCCACUCAGCAGGGAGCCUGCUUCC